rnacentral:rRNA from 1 species
AGAGAGAGACAUGCGCGCAUAUCAAUAAGCGGAGGAAAAGAAACUAACAAGGAUUCCCUUAGUAACGGCGAGUGAAGCGGGAAGAGCUCAAAUUUGAAAUCUUCAAGGUUUUACCUUGACGAAUUGUAGUUUAAAGAAGUGUUUUCUGCUGAAGUUUUGGUAAAAGUUCUUUGGAAUAGGACAUCAUAGAGGGUGAGAAUCCCGUAUUUGACCAUUAUUUUCAGCUUUGUGAUACGCUUUCAAAGAGUCGGAUUGUUGGGAAUGCAGUCCAAAAUGGGUGGUAAAUUUCAUCUAAAGCUAAAUAUUGGCGAGAGACCGAUAGCGAACAAGUACCGUGAGGGAAAGAUGAAAAGAACUUUGAAAGAGAGUUAAACAGUACGUGAAAUUGUCAAAAGGGAAGCGUUUGACACCAGUGUUGUUUUCUCGAAAAUCAAUUAAAAAUGGCUCGAUUUUGUAUUGUUGAGACCUUAAAAGCUCACUGUACAUUUUUCGUGUCUUUUUUAAUGCACUUUUCGUUUAACAAGUCAACAUCAGUUUCUUUUGUUGUAAAAGGGUCAUUGGAAGGUGGCUUUCUUUUCGGAGAAAGUGUUUAUAGCCUUUGGCCUCUGCAAUCGGAGAGACUGAGGUCUGCAGCGUAGACUCUUCGGGGUUAGAUACAUUUGUGCUAAGUUAUAGCUUUUUAUAGACAACUUGUUGACUAUAAUUAGUCUUGUAGCUUACUCGCUUAUGCUAUUUUACCUACGCUUAGGAUGUUGAAGAUGUAGCACAUCAU